CCUACCAUCUAGCAAGCCAAUGCCCUCACCCCAGUAAGGGGACAGGCUCUCAAGAAUUGCAUGGUAAAAGGUGGUCCAUAGAGAGGUGGGGAUUGCAGGGAUCUCCUGUUGCCCUUGUUUACCCAAGAAUCCAAGAGGAGCACUGACAGCCU